rnacentral:tmRNA from 1 species
GGGGCUGCCCUGGUUUUGACAGCAAGGUGAACUGGUAAGUAAGCAUGCCGAGUACUGAAGCAACGCUCGUAAAACCUUGUUUCACACUUUUAAUUGGCGAAGAUAACUACGCUAUCGCUGCGUAACCGAAUCAAGUAGGUUAAGCUUUAUCCCGGUACCAGGUAUUGGGACGAUACAUCACGC